rnacentral:rRNA from 1 species
UACGGAGGAUCCAAGCGUUAUCCGGAUUCAUUGGGUUUAAAGGGUGCGUAGGCGGAAUGAUAAGUCAGCGGUGAAAUCCCUCGGCUUAACCGAGGAACUGCCGUUGAUACUGUCAAUCUUGAGUACAUUUGAUGUGGGCGGAAUGUGUCAUGUAGCGGUGAAAUGCUUAGAUAUGACACAGAACACCGAUUGCGAAGGCAGCUCACAAAACUGUAACUGACGCUGAGGCACGAAA